rfam:Cavia porcellus supercont2_29 genomic scaffold, whole genome shotgun sequence.
GAAAAGGCUCUUUUCAGAGCCCUCAAGUCUAAGUGAUACUUCUAA